GGGCCCAGAGAGAACCCGCAAUUGCCCCCUCUCUCUUCGAUCGGUUGGAGUUUCCGCCCGAGCGAGACGGGGAGAAGGAGAAAUAUAGGGUUGUGGAAGAGAGCGCCGAGGGUAACGCAGAAGAAGAUGGAGAAAGAAACUCUAGGUGCCUAUGAAUGCUCCUCCUCCUCGUCCGACGACGAGUUUGUACUAGGGCUAACUACAGAGAAUCAGAUUUGGAAGAAGAUUCUUUGAAGUACCUAUGUGUGGCAUUCAUGUGCAACAAUGAAUAGGUACAUCAAAAGUGCACCUUUUAUUUGACUUCAAAUACUUGGAUUUCACUGCCUGAUGUAUGUUUCUGCAUUUUGUUUUACCAUAGUAAUGAGAAGGUAUAGACUUUAGCGUGUAAUUUAUUCACAACCUGAUACAAUAGUGAUAAUACAACUAGUAAAUUCCUAAUCUCCAACUAUUUAUCUCUUGGAUUCAGGCAUUUUUCAUUUGAUGUUUAAUUCUGAUCCAAAGCUGGAUUCAUGCUGCUAUAAGGAUAUAAUUGAUGAGGCAAUAACUGAAGAAGAGAUAUGUUUGUUGUUCUCAAUCAUAAACCCAUUAUGUCAGUUGUAGUUUGUGAAGAAUUAAACAUGUAAUUAAGGAUUUCUUAGCCAGUCCUUACUAUCCCCAAAAAAAAAAAAAAACUUAUUUAUCUGUUUACAUAUUAGUUACAGUAUUAUUAAUUAUAUCCCUCUGAUGGAAUUACAUUCAUGCUCAUGUUGACUUUUUGUUACUUUGAUGAUGAAUGAUAUAAUCAGAAACCUUGUUUGAAAAUCCUUGUGAUGAAUGCAAUAUUUCCAUCAACAGGCAGCUUAUGUUGACGCAAAGAUAUUUCUUUUUUAUUUUGUAGGAGAGUUGAAGACAAAUAAGGCUUAUCAAGAAUGGUCCAAUAAAGCAUCUGAAAGAGAAACUCCAUCCAAUCCAGUAGUUAGUAGGCUGGAGUAGUUUUCUCAAAACAUGUCCAUCAAUUAAUGCAACUUGUUUUCUCCUGACUGAAGCAUCAUUUUGACAAAUUUUUUAGGUCUAGAGAACAAGAAACAGAUAAGGGUGCAGUUUGGCUCUGCUCUCUCUUUGGCAGGUCAGGAAGCGAAAGCAUUGCCAGGUGAUCCAGAAGAAAAUAGGAAACAUGGAAUAGGAAGAACACUACUUCUGUGGUUGCAUCUUCUGAACAUAUACAUUGGAACAGGAUGGUCAUUCAUUUAACAUAGUUGCAUCACAUUACAAUGGAAGAUGAAGUAAAACCAAGAAGACAGUAGGCAAUCCAAGACUGGUGGAAACCGACCAAGAGAUGUAGAAAGAAGAAACAAACAUGAAAGAAUUGCAUUCUUUCCAUGUACAUAUGCCACAGCAAGUAUUUAGUUGAAGUAGGAGGCCACAAAGGAAAGGAGGGAUGCUGCAACCAGCGUCAUCAGGGCUGGGACUGGCACAAAUGCUGCACUUGGUGAUGGGGGAGAUGCCUCAGGCGCACCGUGGUCGUGGCCUUCAUGAGCCAACACUGUGGUGGCGGAGGCAGCAGCAACGAUGAGGGCGAAGCAGGCUACCAGCUUCUUCGUCUCCAUUGAUGAAGUCUACCGUGUCCCCUUUUAUCUGCCUCUACAGAUGGAGAGGGGGGAGAUUUAUAGUGUUUGUUCGGGUUCUCCAACCUUCUGUAAGAAAAGAUUAGGUAGGACAGAGAAUAUUAUAUUGUUGUGAUCGGCUUCCCAUGUAUUAAAUCAAAGUAAAAAAAAUUUAGGUAGGACAUAAUAUUAUGUUAUUA